rnacentral:rRNA from 1 species
UACGAAGGGGGCUAGCGUUGCUCGGAAUCACUGGGCGUAAAGCGCACGUAGGCGGAUUGCUAAGUCAGGGGUGAAAUCCUGGAGCUCAACUCCAGAACUGCCUUUGAUACUGGCGACCUUGAGUCCGGGAGAGGUGAGUGGAACUGCGAGUGUAGAGGUGAAAUGCGUAGAUAUCACUUGGAACGCCAAUGGUGAAGACAGCUCGCUGGGGGUGUCCUGACGCUGAGGCGCGAAAGCCAGGGGAGCGAACGGG